CCCUCUCCACCCUGACUUGGCAUUGCCUCUCAGAGCUGUGAUACUUCUCCCACCCUGGCAGACCCUUUCCACAGUUCCAGAAGAUUUUGGAGCAAAAGGCAGCCUCACAUAAGCAUCCAGAGAACAGAGGCAAGCCCACACCUGGGCCCGGCCCGCCCCCUCUGGGCCUCCCUGCCCGGCCAGGCCCCGCACCCCGCUCCCUGCUCCCCGCCCAUCUGAAGAGCCUGGGCCCCAGCAGGGGAAAGAAAAAUGAGAAGCCUGGGAUUUUAACGCGUUGCAAGCCAAAAAGAUCCAGAAAGGGCACAGCAGGAAUAGUGCAGGCAGCCUGGGUGAUGUGCCUUGCUUCCUGAGAGGCACAGUAUUCCAGAUACUCUGAAAGCAGGUAAUAGGUGCACAGAAAUGUGGGCCUGGCACAGAACUUCUACAAACAUGGGGUUGGCCAGCCAGGCUGAUAGAGGGUGUACGGGGAGGGGAAGGGCUCUGAGGCCGCACCUUAUAUAGGAGGCAGAAAACUUCAGUUGUCCAUAUCAGAGAUGGAAGGCUGGAUAUUAAGAGUUGUGGGCUAAAGCUGCCCCUUCAGAUUAGAAAAAAGAAAAGAUAAAGGGAGAGAGAAGACUAGAAGGAGGGAGAGGAUGAAUGGACAGAAGGGGGGAAAGAAAAAGCACAACCAGAAUUUCUAAAACCAGCUUCUGUCAGAAAUUCUUGCCACCAUUUGUUAAGGAUUUGCCAUUAGGACUAGAACUCUGAUGUGGCAUCAUGGGGUGAUUAAAAGCACCUGAG